UAUGAAAUAAACAAUGUCUCUCCUGCGUGUGUGAUUAUUGGCUCGCUGCACACCGGGAAACAAAUCUGCUCUUCGGACAACAAGGAUUAAUUAGAAUAAC